rnacentral:rRNA from 1 species
UACGUAGGGGGCGAGCGUUGUCCGGAAUCAUUGGGCGUAAAGCGCGUGUAGGCGGCCCGGUAAGUCCGCUGUGAAAGUCCAGGGCUCAACCCUGGGAUGCCGGUGGAUACUGUCGGGCUCGAGUCCGGAAGAGGCGAGUGGAAUUCCUGGUGUAGCGGUGAAAUGCGCAGAUAUCAGGAGGAACACCAAUAGCGAAGGCAGCUCGCUGGGACGUUACUGACACUGAGAUGCGAAAGCGUGGGGAGCAAACAGG